rnacentral:rRNA from 1 species
AGUGAACGCUGGCGGUAGGCCUAAUACAUGCAAGUCGAACGGCAGCACAGUAAGAGCUUGCUCUUACGGGUGGCGAGUGGCGGACGGGUGAGGAAUACAUCGGAAUCUACUUUUUCGUGGGGGAUAACGUAGGGAAACUUACGCUAAUACCGCAUACGACCUACGGGUGAAAGCAGGGGAUCUUCGGACCUUGCGCGAUUGAAUGAGCCGAUGUCGGAUUAGCUAGUUGGCGGGGUAAAGGCCCACCAAGGCGACGAUCCGUAGCUGGUCUGAGAGGAUGAUCAGCCACACUGGAACUGAGACACGGUCCAGACUCCUACGGGAGGCAGCAGUGGGGAAUAUUGGACAAAGGGCGCAAGCCUGAUCCAGCCAUACCGCGUGGGUGAAGAAGGCCUUCGGGUUGUAAAGCCCUUUUGUUGGGAAAGAAAAGCAGCAGGUUAAUACCCCGCUGUUCUGACGGUACCCAAAGAAUAAGCACCGGCUAACUUCGUG